rnacentral:lncRNA from 1 species
GCACAGCUUACCAACUCACAGAUCUGAGCUUGAAUCUCAGCAUACCUACUUUCUCAUUCUGUGAAUUUAGCCUUAUCAACUCAAUGCUUACCUGUGACAGACCCUGACGAUCUUAAUGAAUUCCCAAGGCUACUAAAGAA